UACGUAGGUGGCAAGCGUUGUCCGGAUUUAUUGGGUUUAAAGGGUGCGUAGGCGGCCUUGUAAGUCAGUGCUGAAAUAUCCCGGCUUAACCGGGAGGGUGGCAUUGAUACUGCAGGGCUUGAGUAAAGUUGAGGUUGGCGGAAUUGACGGUGUAGCGGUGAAAUGCUUAGAUAUCGGGAGGAACACCUAUGGCGAAAGCAGCUGCCUGGGCCUUUACUGACGCUGAGGAGCGAAAGCGUGGGGAGCAAACAGG
rnacentral:rRNA from 1 species